GACGAACGCUGGCGGCGCGCCUAAGUACAUGCAAGUCGAGCGAGAAGGUGUAGCAAUACCACUUGUAAAGCGGCGAACGGGUGAGGAAUACAUGGGUAAUCUACCAUCGAGUGGGAAUAACCAGCCGAAAGGUUGGCUAAUACCGCGUACGCUUCCCGAGUCUUCGGGCUUGGAACGGAAAGCCGCACUGUGAGUGCGGCGCUCUUUGAUGAGCUCAUGUCCUAUCAGCUUGUUGGUAGGGUAACGGCCUACCAAGGCUUUGACGGGUAGCUGGUCUGAGAGGACGAUCAGCCACACUGGCACUGCGACACGGGCCAGACUCCUACGGGAGGCAGCAGUAAGGAAUAUUGCGCAAUGGGCGAAAGCCUGACGCAGCGACGCCGCGUGGGGGAUGAAGGUCUUCGGAUUGUAAACCCCCUUUCGGGAGGGAAGACUGGAGCGAGCAAUCGUUCGGACGGUACCUCCAGAAGCAGCCACGGCCAACUUCGUG
rnacentral:rRNA from 1 species